GGACUGUUUUGCAAUUAACAGAAAGAUUUUGGAUAUCGAUGGUUGUCGCGCUCGGAUAGGGAUCCAUCUCAUCCCCUCUUCCUGUGACGUUUGAGCGAAGAGGGCACUGAGAGCAGCUUGGAGAUGGAUCCAGUGGCGGACGACGUCAGCUGGAGGAGCGAUUAGAAAUGAUGCCAAAGCAAUCCGAAUCAGGUUCUUUGUUGUUGAAAGACCCAAGACAUGCUCUGAUUCUUAUGACAUUCUUCCACCAAAAAAGCAUGCUGACUCGUUAGAGGAUGAUGCAAAUAAAGUAUGCCUACAUGAUUCAAGAUCAGUCCCAGUUUCUGCUGAAACUGUGGCCCUACUAGCAGAAUAUGGAUUGAGGUAUGGGAUGCAUUGAUUAAUUGCAACGGGAAAAACUUAAAGAGGCCAGUAUCAAAGAAAUGAACUGGAACUGGAGUUAAAUGAAAUUUUGAUACUUGAAGAACUGUUACUGGAAACAGUUAUACUUAAGAUUUAAGAAGCAUUACCCUGUGGAGCUCUGUUGAAUUCCACAAGGAUAAUAGUGUCCCAGAAGCAUACUAGAUACUCUGACAAACCCAGGAAAAUUGUGAGCAAGUAUUUACACAAAUACAAGAGAAGACGACCCUAACUGCAGUGGAGCAUGUAGCUAAGCUGAAAGGUUGCCAGAAGAGUUGGAAACAGUAACCUCAUAGUUCCAUAAUAGGAAAGGAAAACACAGACCAGCCAGAAAAUCAGAUCAUGGAGUUGCACAUAAAUAUUUUGAAAAACAACAGUAAGUACACGGGUCUUAUUUGGAGGAGCUUGUCCCAUCCAUACUUUGAUAGCUAUCAGCCCAGCACAAAUUUUGGUCAUUAGUUUUGUAAAUCUUCAAGAUGACUUUGUUUGAAUUCUUCCAGUGGUCCACAGCUUGCCUUGGCACAAAAUGUCAAACAAUUUGUCUGUUUUGGGGAAGGUUUCCUUUCCUCCACCUUAGAAGAAAGCUCCCAGAGCACAGAAAAAUGAGCCCGAAUAGAAUUGUGGUUGUUCAAAGUGCUUUUGAUGUGAACCUUGGGGAUGGAGAUAUUUUCUAUUGUCGCAACUGCAGGAGAUGUAGCAAAAGAUUGGGUCCACUGUGAAAAUUGAUGCUUCAAAAAGCAAUUAAAAAAAAAAAAAGAACAGCUGCUAAAGACUGGGUAUCUGAAAAUCUUAUGAAAGAAAUGAUUGCUGAUUUGGUUAUAAUUUUCUUUCAUUAGAUGUCUGAUUGUUCGAGAAUAUUCAUCUUGAUGCCGUUACAAUCAUCAUCAUCAUCAACCUUUGAUGUUGAAGCUUAAAUCUCUAAAUUUGGAAGGGAUGAAUCAAAAAGGCAAAUAAGGGUUAAUCUAGCACUUGUACUGGUGAACACUGAUCUAUGAGAGAAGUUUAAUAUUCAUUGGAAGUUCUAUGGUUCAUCAGCAAUGGCAAGAGAGAAUGGAUGCCCUCCCUUCUAAUGGUUCAAUGAAUUAUGAAAGCAUUGAUCAAAAGUAAACAAAGUUGCAAGAGAGAAUGGAUGUCCUCCCUUCUAAUGGUUCAAUGAAUUAUGAAAGCAUUGAUCAAAAGUAAACUCUGAGUUGUAUUUAAACUCUCUGAGUUGGAUAUUGUCUUGAGCCAUAAGUUGUGCCACAAUUUGGGAUCUGGUGACUAGCAAAGAAUAGGUUACUUAUUUUUGACAAGUUGCUCUAAAGGAAACUUUAAACGAACCAUUUAAGAAAAGUUGCUUUGCUUUGAAACAUGCUCAUAUGACUACAACAGUUGAAAUUAAUGCUGUCUGGCUCUCUUCUAAAGCUAUGAAACUUACUUUAAAUGAACAUUGACAUAGAGCUAAUAGUCUUUUUCUUUUCUUACACAGAGUAAUACUGCUUGGCCAUAAUCAGCAUGCAUUGUUCUUCAUGCCUGCAAGCACAGCAUGAUUGUUAGCAUUGCACUAACCCUUGGCAUUGGGCUUGGAUUGUUUUUGCACUUUUUGGACAUUUUUCUUCUCUUUCACAUUACACAGAGGAAUUAAACUUGUCCUGAUGUCUUGUCCACUUUUCUGAGUGCAGAAUAGACAAGCAAGAGAGCAAGAGAAAACGUUCAUACAAACAAGUGCUGAAGUUGCAGUACUCAGUUAAGUUAUUAACAGAGUCUAAACCCUGAUGCAUACUAAAUAUAAAGCUAAAGCUUCAGCUCUCCCCUAGUAAUACACACUCUGUCCAUUCAACUAGUAUGGAUGCUAUUGCUAGGUAUCAUUCAACUCAACUCACUGAGCAGAAGCUUUGAUCAAAUAUAUUUGGGUAAACUCUUCUUGGCAACACAUUUUAUUUAUUUCAUGCAUAUCUUCUCUGUAUCUUUGACUCAAACCACCAUUAGCAAUCUGUAUCUUAUGGUGUGCCAACACAGCUCAAUGAUUCCCGGAAACAACUAUGGCCUCAACUGCCUUUAGGUUGGCCUAACAUAUCGAAGAACAAUCUCGAAUCGGAUCUAACUCAGACUCUCUCAAUUAACCAAAGUAGUGAAAAUGAAUCCAAUACGCUGUCAUUCAUUUGCUGUAUUUUAUUGGUUCAUAUGCAUACUCUGCCGUGGUUAUUUUUUUUGAGAGCUUGAUAUAUACAUCUCCGGGAAGCCACUUACUUUAAUUGCUAUUAGUCCUCGAUCAUGUGCAGGAUUUAUACGUAUAAAUAAACAAAAGCCAUGAAAAAACUUUGAUUUUAUAUUUCUGCAUGCUUCUUAGUUGGCCAUAUUUAAUUAUGGAAUGAGGAGAGGCUUUGGUUUCUGGUGUGCCCUUCAAGUUCCAACUAAUGAAUUAAUCUUGAAAAUGAGAGCUGGAGUGAGUUGAAGGAAUUAAGACCGUGGAAGAUGUGAUGGAACAGGGUUUGCUGGCUUCAAUUAGUGCAUGGGGAUUCAGUAAUAAAGAAGAGUUAAGGCAGUAAUGUAAUGGAUGGAAAUAUUAAAUAUAGCAUGAUGUGAAUUGUC